rnacentral:rRNA from 1 species
AUACGUAGGGAGCGAGCGUUGUCCGGAAUUACUGGGCGUAAAGGGCGCGUAGGCGGCGCUUCAAGUCGUCUGUCAAAUGGGAGGGCUUAACCCUUUUUCGCAGACGAAACUGGAGAGCUUGAGAAGCAGAGAGGCAAACAGAAUUCCUGGUGUAGCGGUGAAAUGCGUAGAUAUCAGGAAGAAUACCAGUGGCGAAGGCGGUUUGCUGGCUGCAUACUGACGCUGAAGCGCGAAAGCCAGGGGAGCGAACGGGAUUAGAUACCCCGGUAGUCCUGGCAGUAAACGAUGUAUGCUGGGUGUGAGACUAGCGAUAGUUUCGUGCCGAAGUUAACGCGAUAAGCAUACCGCCUGGGGAGUACGGUCGCAAGAUCGAAACUCAAAGGAAUUGACGGGG